GAUGAACGCUGGCGGCGUGCCUAAUACAUGCAAGUCGAGCGAACGGACGAGAAGCUUGCUUCUCUGAUGUUAGCGGCGGACGGGUGAGUAACACGUGGAUAACCUACCUAUAAGACUGGGAUAACUUCGGGAAACCGGAGCUAAUACCGGAGAAUAUUUUGAACCGCAUGGUUCAAAAGUGAAAGACGGUCUUGCUGUCACUUAUAGAUGGAUCCGCGCUGCAUUAGCUAGUUGGUAAGGUAACGGCUUACCAAGGCAACGAUGCAUAGCCGACCUGAGAGGGUGAUCGGCCACACUGGAACUGAGACACGGUCCAGACUCCUACGGGAGGCAGCAGUAGGGAAUCUUCCGCAAUGGGCGAAAGCCUGACGGAGCAACGCCGCGUGAGUGAUGACGGUCUUCGGAUCGUAAAACUCUGUUAUUAGGGAAGAACAUAUGUGUAAGUAACUGUGCACAUCUUGACGGUACCUAAUCAGAAAGCCACGGCUAACUACGUG
rnacentral:rRNA from 1 species